rnacentral:rRNA from 1 species
UACGGAGGGUGCAAGCGUUAAUCGGAAUUACUGGGCGUAAAGGGCGCGCAGGCGGCCUUAGAAGUCAGAUGUGAAAGCCCCGGGCUCAACCUGGGAAUGGCAUUUGAUACUCUGAGGCUGGAGUACGGGAGAGGAGAGUGGAAUUCCCAGUGUAGAGGUGAAAUUCGUAGAUAUUGGGAAGAACACCGGUGGCGAAGGCGGCUCUCUGGACCGUAACCGACGCUGAGGCGCGAAAGCGUGGGGAGCAAACAGG